UCGUGGCUCAGAUCGAACGCUGGCGGCAGGCUUAACACAUGCAAGUCGAACGAAGUCUUCGGACUUAGUGGCAGACGGGUGAGUAACGCGUGGGAACUUACCUUUCGGUACGGAACAACAGUUGGAAACGACUGAUAAUACCGUAUGCGCCGUACGGGGGAAAGAUUUAUCGCCGAGAGAUGGGCCCGCGUUGCAUUAGGUAGUUGGUGGGGUAAUGGCCUACCAAGGCGAUGAUCCAUAGCUGGUCUGAGAGGAUGAUCAGCCACACUGGGACUGAGACACGGCCCAGACUCGUACGGGAGGCAGCAGUGGGGAAUAUUGGACAAUGGGGGCAAGCCCGAUCCAGCCAUGCCGCGUGAGUGAUGAAGGCCUUAGGGUUGUAAAGCUCUUUCAGCGAGGAGGAUAAUGACGUUACUCGCAGAAGAAGCCCCGGCUAACUUCGUCCCAGCAGCCGCGGUAAUACGAAGGGGGCUAGCGUUUUUCGGAAUCACUGGGCGUAAAGCGCACGUAGGCGGACUUUUAAGUCAGGGGUGAAAUCCCGGAGCUCAACUCCGGAACCGCCUUUGAUACUGGAAGUCUUGAGUCCGAGAGAGGUGAGUGGAACUCCGAGUGUAGAGGUGAAAUUUGUAGAUAUUGGGAGGAACACCAGUGGAGAAGGCGGCUCACUGGCUCGAUACUGACGGUGAGGUGACGAAAGUGUGGGGAGCAAACAGGAUUAGAUACCCUGGUAGUCCACGCCGUAAACGAUGCGAACUGCGAGUCGUUGGGUGGCACUUAGGCCUUCGGUAUCGAAGCUAACGCGUUAAGUUCGCCGCCUGGGGAGUACGGUCGCAAGACUGAAACUCAAAGGAAUUGACGGGGGCCCGCACAAGCGGUGGAGUAUGUGGUUUAAUUCAAUGCAACGCGCAGAACCUUACCUGGCCUUGACAUCCAGGGAACUUUCCAGAGAUGGAUUGGUGCCUUCGGGAACCCUGAGACAGGUGCUGCAUGGCUGUCGUCAGCUCGUGUCGUGAGAUGUUGGGUUAAGUCCCGCAACGAGCGCAACCUUUGUCCCUAGUUGCCAGCACUUCGGGUGGGAACUCUAGGGAGACUGCCGGUGACAAACCGGAGGAAGGUGGGGAUGACGUCAAGUCAUCAUGGCCCUUACGGCCAGGGCUACACACGUACUACAAUGGUGGGGACAGAGGGCAUGCCAGCCGCGAGGCGGAUGCCAUCCCAUAAACCCCAUCCUAGUCCGGAUCUGACUCUGCAACUCGACUCCGUGAAGUCCGAAUCGCUAGUAAUCGCACAUCAGCAUUGCUGCGGUGAAUACGAUCCCGGGCCUUGUACACACCGCCCGUCACACCAUGGGAGUUUGCUGCAUCAGAAGCAGGUAGCUUAACCGCAAGGAUGGCGCUUGCCACGGUGUGCCCGAUGACUGGGGUGAAGUCGUAGGUAGGUAACCAGUCGCUACAGAGUGACCACAGAGUU
rnacentral:rRNA from 1 species